AGCGAACGCUGGCGGCAGGCCUAACACAUGCAAGUCGAACGAAGUCUUCGGACUUAGUGGCGGACGGGUGAGUAACACGUGGGAACGUACCUUUUGGUUCGGAACAACUCAGGGAAACUUGAGCUAAUACCGGAUAAGCCCUUAGGGGGAAAGAUUUAUCGCCGAAAGAGCGGCCCGCGUUAGAUUAGCUAGUUGGUGAGGUAAAGGCUCACCAAGGCUACGAUCUAUAGCUGGUCUGAGAGGAUGAUCAGCCAAACUGGGACUGAGACACGGCCCAGACUCCUACGGGAGGCAGCAGUGGGGAAUCUUGCGCAAUGGGCGAAAGCCUGACGCAGCCAUGCCGCGUGAAUGAUGAAGGUCUUAGGAUUGUAAAAUUCUUUUACCAGGGACGAUAAUGACGGUACCUGGAGAAAAAGCCCCGGCUAACUUCGUGCCAGCAGCCGCCGUAAUAC
rnacentral:rRNA from 1 species